rnacentral:rRNA from 1 species
UUAAGCUACUAAGAGCAUACGGUGGAUGCCUUGGCGCCAAGAGCCGAAGAAGGACGUGGAGAGCUGCGAAAAGCUCCGGGAAGCUGCCUCAAGCGAUGAUCCGGAGGUAUCCGAAUGGGGAAACCCACCCAGGGGAAUGCCUGGGUACCCCUGGCUGAACAAAAUAGGCCAGGUGGGGGGAACCGGGGGAACUGAAACAUCUUAGUACCCCGAGGAAGAGAGACCAUUCCCUUAGUAGUGGCGAGCGAACGGGGAAAAGCCCAAACCGGCGUAACUGAGUGGUCCAGAGCCUAUGUUGCGUUGGGGUUGUAAGGCUUGGUUGGGUGAGCUGGUAAGCCCAAGGAGUAAGAAAUCUGGUCCGUAGUCGAACUGCCUGGGAAGGCGGGGCAUAGACGGUGAGACCCCAGUAGACGAAACGGAGCAGACUCCUACCAAGACCUUGAGUACCAGCGGGCACGCUAAUCCGCUGGGAAGCAGGGAGGCCCACCUCCCAAGGCUAAACACUCUUGGCGACCGAUAGUGAACAAGUACCGUGAGGGAAAGGUGAAAAGAACCCUUGUUAAGGGAGUGAAAAGAAUCUGAAACCGUAUGCUUACAAGCAGUCGAAGGACAAUGCCAGGUCCGGACUCGUCUUCGGGCGAGCCGCUGGCAGGUCUGACGGCGUGCCUUUUGGAGAAUGAGCCGGCGAGUUACUCUUUGUGGCGAGGUUAAGGGAGGGACACCCGGAGCCGAAGCGAAAGCGAGUCUGAAUAGGGCGCAAGAGCUUGCCUACGGGCAAGGCCGUCGCAAGGAGUAGACCCGAAACCGGGUGAGCUAUCCAUGGCCAGGCUGAAGCGAAGCUAAACCUUCGUGGAGGGCCGAACCCACCAAUGUUGCAAAAUUGGGGGAUGAGCUGUGGAUAGGGGUGAAAUGCCAAACGAACCCGGAGAUAGCUGGUUCUCCCCGAAAUAGCUUUAGGGCUAGCGUCACGCGUUUAGUACUGGAGGUAGAGCACUGGAUCGACUAGGGGGCCUCACCGCUUACCAAAUCGAACCAAACUCCGAAUGCCGGUACUUGAGAGCGUGGCAGUUGGACUACGGGAGAUGAGUUUCGUGGUCGAGAGGGAAACAGCCCAGACCGCCAGCUAAGGUCCUCAAGUUCAGGCUAAGUGGGAAAGGAUGUGGAAUUACUCGGACAGCCAGGAGGUUGGCUUAGAAGCAGCCAUCCUUUAAAGAGUGCGUAAUAGCUCACUGGUCAAGUGAUUCUGCGCCGAAAAUGUAACGGGGCUCAAGCCUGACACCGAAGCUGCGGAUGUUGUGCAUCGCGAGAUGCGUAGCGUAGUAGGGGAGCGUUCUGUAGGCGGGGAAGCCAGACUGCGAGGACUGGUGGAGCGUACAGAAGUGAGAAUGCCGGCAUGAGUAGCGAGAAUCAUGUGAGAAACAUGGUCCCCGUAAGUCUGAGGUUUCCGACGGAAGGUUAAUCCGCGUCGGGUUAGUCGGGCCUAAGCCGAGGCCGAGAGGCGUAGGCGAUGGACAUCCGGUUAAUAUUCCGGAACCGCGUCAGGUUGUUUGAGCGAGGGGGUGACGCAGAAGGGUAGGCCAGCCUGUCUAAAUGGACAUGGCAGGUGCCAAGCCCAAAGGGAGAAGAAGGCGAUAGGCAAAUCCGUCGCCAGAUCCUGAAGGGUGACGGCGGAGCCCACAGGGCCGCAAGUGGUUGAGCCCAAGCUGCCAAGAAAAGCCUCUAGUGAGACCUACGCGCCCGUACCGCAAACCGACACAGGUAGACGGGUAGAGAAUACCAAGGGGAUCGGGAGAACCCUCGUUAAGGAACUAGGCAAAAUAACCCCGUAACUUCGGGAGAAGGGGUGCCUGCGCAAGCAGGUCGCAGUGAAAUGGCCCUGCCAACUGUUUACCAAAAACACAGGUCUCUGCCAAGUCGAAAGACGACGUAUAGGGGCUGACGCCUGCCCAGUGCCGGAAGGUUAAAGGGAGAGGUUAGCGGCAACGCAAAGCCUUGAACUGAAGCCCCGGUGAACGGCGGCCGUAACUAUAACGGUCCUAAGGUAGCGAAAUUCCUUGUCGGGUAAGUUCCGACCCG